CAGAGGGUGCGAGCGUUAAUCGGAAUUACUGGGCGUAAAGCGCACGUAGGUGGUUUUGUAAGUCGGAUGUGAAAUCCCCGGGCUCAACCCGGGAACUGCAUUCGAGACUGCAUUACUCGAGUAUGGGAGAGGGAAGCGGAAUUUCCGGUGUAGCGGUGAAAUGCGUAGAUAUCGGAAGGAACAUCAGUGGCGAAAGCGGCUUCCUGGCCCAAUACUGACACUCAUGUGCGAAAGCGUGGGGAGCAAACAGGAUUAGAUACCCUGGUAGUCCACGCCAUAAACGAUGAGAACUAGAUGUCGAGAGGGUUAGCCUCACGGUGUCGCAGCUAACGCGUUAAGUUCUCCGCCUGGGGAGUACGGCCGCAAGGUUG
rnacentral:rRNA from 1 species